rnacentral:rRNA from 1 species
UACGAAGGGAGCUAGCGUUGUUCGGAAUUACUGGGCGUAAAGGGCGCGUAGGCGGACAUCUAAGUCAGGGGUGAAAUCCCAGGGCUCAACCCUGGAAUUGCCUUUGAUACUGGACGUCUCGAGUUCGGGAGAGGUGAGUGGAAUUCCGAGUGUAGAGGUGAAAUUCGUAGAUAUUCGGAGGAACACCAAUUGCGAAGGCAGCUCGCUGGGACGUUACUGACGCUGAGACGCGAAAGCGUGGGGAGCAAACAGG